UCCGGUUUGGCACCGGCAGUCUCCCUAGAGUUCCCGGCAUGAUCCGCUGGCAACUAAGGACAGGGGUUGCGCUCGUUGCGCCACUUAAGGCAACACCUCACGGCACGAGCUGACGACAGCCAUGCACCACCUGUGCAGGCUCCGAAGAGCACCCGCUUUCACGGGUUUCACCCUGCAUGUCAAGCCCAGGUAAGGUGGGGAUGACGUUGUACACCUGAAC
rnacentral:misc_RNA from 1 species